UACAGAGGUCUCAAGCGUUGUUCGGAUUCAUUUGGGCGGUAAAGGGUGCGUAGGCGGCGCGGUAAGUCGGGUGUGAAAUCUCGGAGCUUAACUCCGAACUGCAUUCGAUACUGCCGUGCUUGAGGACUGGAGAGGAGACUGGAAUUACGGUGUAAGCGGUGAAAUGCGUAGAUAUCGUAAGGAAGACCAGUGGCGAAGGCGGGUCUCUGGACAGUUCCUGACGCUGAGGCACGAAGGUCAGGGGAGCAAACGG
rnacentral:rRNA from 1 species